CACAAUUCAUUUUUUUUUUCCUGCUAAGAGUAACGCCUUUCAGCCAUGCUCCAUGGUGUCCCUCCUUUGCAGAUAUCCUGGAAUGAAAGGAUUUGUUUUCUUACAUCUGUUUUCUCUCAUCUUAGGAUAUUAAAUAGAGGCUAUUAAAUAAUACAGAUAGUUGCUGCAUUUAUCCCUCUCAAAUUUGUUUUUUUAUGAACUGAGAGCUAGGGGUUACAUUGAAUCUCUUCAUGCAUCAUGAACUGAGCCAUGCAGAGGGUCUUAUUUAAAUGCUGGUCUGAUUCUCAUGGGCUUGUUCUGCUCAUUUUAUUGUGAAAAAAAAUUAGAACCUCCCCCGCUGAAUCUUUUGGAAUCCUCAAAAAUUAAUCUAUAGAAAUGUUGGAAGAUCAUAUUUUGUGUAUAGAGGAAAUAAGACCAUAUGGAAUUACUGGACUAAUAGAAUAGUUAAGCUUUUUAUUCAAGACAACAAAAUGAAUUUUGAAUAUGCUGCUAAAUAUUGAUGGUGACAGUGUUUUUUCUUCUGUGAGUGAUCCAAGCCGAUUUAUAAAUAGUCUUUAAAGGGAACAGAGCCUUGUGGGGUUGAGGAAAAUAUUGCACUAGCUAUAUCUAGAUUAAGUUUGACAGCUUUACAACCCCCCAUCCCCCCAUUCCAAAGAUGCAGUCUAUGGGGUGGUCAUAUAGCCUAGAAAUAAAGAUCUUAAUAUUUUGCUAUUCCUUGUAUCAAUAAGUCCUUUGUUAAAAGACUUUCAUGGUUUCCAGACUUGGUGGCCACCUUGUAUAAUUCUUGCUCUUUUUUGGAAAGAACAAUGAAGUUUAUUCCUGCUGCCUUAAAAAAUAUGUAUCCUUCCUUCAUGCAUCAUGCCUGUCCCCAGGGAGUGUCCUUUACUAUUCCUGGGAAUGACUUCUGGCUAAACCUUCAUACUGGUGAGGAGAAAAAAAG
rnacentral:lncRNA from 1 species